rnacentral:lncRNA from 1 species
CUGAGAUCUUGUCUGAGAAACUGUGUGUGUGUGUGUGUGUGUGUGUGUGUGUGUGUGUGUGUGCUGAGAUCUUGUCUGAGAAACUGUGUGUGUGUGUGUGUGUGUGUGUGUGUGUGUGUGUGCUGAGAUCUUGUCUGAGAAACUGUGUGUGUGUGUGUGUGUGUGUGUGUGUGUGUGUGUGUGUGUGUGUGUGUGUGUAUGUGUGUGUUGUAUGCAUAUGCAGAGGCCAAAGCAGGACAUUGGGGUUUAUUGCUCUACGAUUCUGUCUUAUCUUCUUGGGCUUGGAAUUUGCCGUUUCUUUGGCUGGCUGGCAGGCCAGCAAGACCCAGAGAUUCCCCUAUGGAACUGACUUAAGGAAAAGGGCACCAGAAGGCCCCAUGGCCACGUUAAUUACUAUCUCUGGCGUGAUGGGCCAAAUGGACUUAUGAU